CUUAAUUUUAAGAUGGCAGAUCAAGAGUCUUGCUUGUUCCCUGAUCUUUCGUCCCUUUCUCCCAAUUUUACCCUCAAUUCAUUGUCAGUCGCCCACAAUUUCUUCACUUAUUCAAUACAAUUUCAUUUCAUGAUUAAAACCUUUCAACUUUCUUCAAUCGAAAUAACCCCCAAUCAAUUCUGAACACUAAAAUUAAUUGAAACCCUUUCAACUUUCUUCAAUUAAAACUUUCGUGAAAUGUUACCAUGGCGAUUAAAGGAGUAUUUCAAGGGGCAAUACCCUAUUGAAGAUGCUAAACCCACACUCUCUCACCACCACUGGUUCCAGAAUUGCCUCAUACCGUCUUCAUUCACGUAUCAAACUCAGGUUCUCAUCUACUUUCUUCAAUUUCAACUUCUUGAUGUUUAAUCCUUAUUUGUUUGUUUAUGCAGGGUGUUGGUUGAAAGAUAGUUAUCAUGAUUUGUUUGUACCAGAAGAGUGUGGAAACAUAUGGUAGAUGAGUGGGUCAAUGCUACUACAAAGAUAACCGGUUUCUGAAAAUACCCCCGAGUCAAUGAAUCCGUCUGUUGUUGAUGAAGAAGAAGGUUUACCUUCACCUCCUUUAGACGAUUUAGCGUUUUUGAACCCUCAUUCAAUGUCAUUGGAAUUAUCCGAGAAGUUCUUCGAUGGCGGGAUGAUUAUGGAAAUGCUCAAAAGAAUGAGAACCAUAAUAACAGAAAGCCGCCAGUUGAGAAGCAAAACGUAACCAAGUGGAAACCACACAAACCGUUAAACAGGGAAACCAUGGUUCCAAAUCGAACCGUGGUCAAACCAGUAAACAACCAAUUGAUAUUUGCAGGUAAUAUUCACGGUUGAUAUUCGUGUCGUAGAUGACAUGGGUGAGCAAAUUCCAGGAACUGACCCGAACCGAAGAUUACCCGACCCGACUCGAGAAUCCCAUAUAUCCAAACAUGAAUUGCGACCCUAAAUAAAAACUUGGGUUCGUUUUUUUUUUCAUAAUCGGGUAUCUCAGCCGAAGCUCCAAGACCGAACCUGGAUGUUUACCCCUUGUUUCCCACUGUACGAUCAUCUCUCAUCGCACUUCACACACAUCGACAUGUUUCCAAGUGCGUUUAAUUGUAUAACCCAUAACAGAUCUAUCAAAGAAUGAUCAUAACAUGUCAUAAAAUACAUCGGUACGAAUAUUCGACUUCGUGAACUGUUCUAAUUAUGCUGAAUCAUUAUGUCGUGAACAGGUCAUGGGCACCACCAUUUAAAUCAAGGGACACCAUAUCAACAUGGAGCAACAAGGGUGCCACCAGGAAAGCAAAGAGUGGCCGACAUGGUUCAACUUCCUGGAUCAAGGCUACCAGACUGUACUCACACUUGCGGCUCAUGUUCUCGACGUGAAAACCAUGUUUUGUUUAACUUUACAAUGCAUUGAAGGAUUCAGUUUUAGAAGAAGUAUUUAAUUGCCAAAAGGACAGUUCAUGCUGUGCUCUUAUUGUAUUAGAAGGCAAAGAUGCUGGAUACAAAUUGUUGGAAAUUAUUAAGCAAAAACCAACCAUAUGUAUAAAGUAUAUACCUAUGUUAGAUGAGGAAAAGUGUAAUAAUUGUGUGUUCAUUUGCAGGUGGGUGGGAGAUGUUUUUCAUAUCAACGUGUAUACUAUUUUUUUUGUAAUUGGAAUUACUUAUAUAGAUAAAUAUAGAUAAAGAAUCAAACUUGAUAUACAAAGUCAACUCUUGUCACAUUACAUGCUGGUUCAGACAACAUCUAUCUGGUGAUGUGUUUUUAGUUUGUUGUAUAGUAUUUUUCCUUUUCAAUAGGAUUUCUUUUUUUAUCGUCAACGAACCUUCGUGGUUAAAUGGUCGAAACAUCCGACACACUAGACCCGCACCUAACACCUAACGGGUGAUCAAUGAA